rnacentral:rRNA from 1 species
GACAGAGGGUGCAAACGUUGUUCGGAUUUACUGGGCGUAAAGGGCGCGUAGGCGGCCUGUGCAAGUCAGUUGUGAAAUCUCCGAGCUUAACUCGGAACGGUCAACUGAUACUGCUCGGCUAGAGUGCGGAAGGGGCAACUGGAAUUCUUGGUGUAGCGGUGAAAUGCGUAGAUAUCAAGAGGAACACCUGCGGCGAAGGCGGGUUGCUGGGCCGACACUGACGCUGAUGCGCGAAAGCUAGGGGAGCGAACGGG